rnacentral:rRNA from 1 species
UACUUAGGGUGCAAGCGUUAAUCGGAAUUACUGGGCGUAAAGCGUGCGCAGGCGGUUGUGCAAGACCGAUGUGAAAUCCCCGGGCUUAACCUGGGAAUGGCAUUGGUGACUGCACGGCUAGAGUGUGUCAGAGGGGGGUAGAAUUCCACGUGUAGCAGUGAAAUGCGUAGAGAUGUGGAGGAACACCGAUGGCGAAGGCAGCGCCCUGGGACCUGACUGACGCUCAUGUACGAAAGCGUGGGGAGCAAACAGG